rnacentral:rRNA from 1 species
AUUGAACGCUGGCGGAAUGCUUUACACAUGCAAGUCAAACGGCAGCACGGGGGCAACCCUGGUGGCGAGUGGCGAACGGGUGAGUAAUACACCGGAACGUGCCCAGUCGUGGGGGAUAACGUAGCGAAAGUUACGCUAAUACCGCAUACGAUCUAAGGAUGAAAGCGGGGGAUCGCAAGACCUCGCGCGAUUGGAGCGGCCGAUAUCAGAUUAGGUAGUUGGUGGGGUAAAGGCUCACCAAGCCAACGAUCUGUAGCUGGUCUGAGAGGACGACCAGCCACACUGGAACUGAGACACGGUCCAGACUCCUACGGGAGGCAGCAGUGGGGAAUUUUGGACAAUGGACGCAAGUCUGAUCCAGCCAUUCCGCGUGCAGGAUGAAGGCCCUCGGGUUGUAAACUGCUUUUGUACGGAACGAAAAGGUCUCUCUUAAUACGGGGGGCUCAUGACGGUACCGUAAGAAUAAGCACCGGCUAACUACGUGCCAGCCGCCGCCGUAA